AGUGAACGUUGGCGGCGUGGAUUAGGCAUGCAAGUCGAGCGAGAACCGUAGCAAUACGGGGACAGCGGCGAAAGGGACAGUAAUGUGUAGGUACCUACCCCGAGGUCUGGGAUAGCUGCGGGAAACUGCAGGUAAUACCGGAUAAUGUCUUCGGACCAAAGGUGUGAUUCCACCUUGGGAGGGGCCUGCAUCCUAUUAGCUAGUUGGCGGGGUAAUGGCCCACCAAGGCAACGAUGGGUAGCGGGUGUGAGAGCACGACCCGCGUCAUUGGGGCUGCGACACGGCUCAGACACCGAGGGGUGGCUGGAGUGGAGGAUCUUCGGCAAUGGGCGCAAGCCUGACCGGGCGACGCCGCGUGCGGGAUGAAGGCCUUCGGGUUGUAAACCGCUGUCGUAGAGGAGGAAAUGCAGGGGGGUUCUCCCUUCUGUUUGACCUAUUCUAGGAGGAAGUACGGGCUAAGUUCGUGCCAGCCGCCGCCGUAA
rnacentral:rRNA from 1 species